rnacentral:lncRNA from 13 species
CUGAGGCGCUUCCGCUCAGGUUCCCCUCAGCAAGCCGCUGCUGCUUCAGAUUUCAGAGAGAAAUCUUGCUGACACCUUGAUUAUGGACCUCUAGCCUCCAGAACUGAGAAAGAAGAUGAAAAUUACAGGUGAAUGCUCAUGACCCAAAUGGAAAACUGAGGGAAGAGAGCCAAAACCAAUAAGAGAAUCUGCUGAGAGAAGCUUGGGUACAGAAAAGGAAGGCAGCAAGAGUCUCAGAGAUUCAUCUAUGAGGAUCUUGGAGUCCCUCAGAAAGGGCCUCUGAUUGAAAGCAGCAGCCUGGACUCCCUGGAUUCAGCCUCCUUCGUAGGGGAAUGUAUCGGUAAGUCUCCCACCUUGCCAGGAAUCCCAGGGCUAGAGUAUGCAAAACUCCUGGGUCUCUGUGUGUGCCCAAGUGGCUGCUCUGCUGGGACUCCACAUAGCUCUGCAUAUCGUCCCUGGGCCCUAGUAGCAUGGGCUUUUGAGGGAAUCUAUUGAUCUGCUGGUUGCAAAGAUCCAUGGGCAAAGCAUAGUUUCCUAGGCAGAAUCAUAUAAUCACUCAUCACUUCCCUUGGCUGAGGAUAGAGGUUCCUCUCGCUCCGUGCUGCUCCCAGUUGUGCUGUCACCAUACCUUGCUUUUCUUCGUUCUCUAUGGGUCAAGUUUUUACCUAUAUCAGUCCGAAUGCAGGAACCUGGAUUUUUGAGCUGAAGGUGCCAAAUUCACUCUCCGCUUCAUGAGGAAUUAUUCAUGAGUACCACAGACCACAUCUCUUUCUAAAUGGCCAUCCUGGCCCCUACUGAGACUAUUCUUUAGAAUGAGAAUGCUUCCAACACCCCUACCAGCAAAUGCCAUUUCUAGGCAGGAUGGACUCAACUAUUUAUUGCAAUUUGUAUUUUUAAACAAAAAAAUAUAUAAAAUAAAAUAGAACAGAACAAACCUGGAGUGAACUGA